rnacentral:rRNA from 1 species
AGAUUGAACGCCGGCGGCAUGCUUUACACAUGCAAGUCGAACGGUAACAGGCCGCAAGGUGCUGACGAGUGGCGAACGGGUGAGUAAUGCAUCGGAACGUGCCCAGUCGUGGGGGGAUAACGCAGCGAAAGCUGUGCUAAUACCGCAUACGAUCUAUGGAUGGAAAGGCGGGGGAACCGAAAGGCCUCGCGCGAUUGGAGCGGCCGAUGUCAGAUUAGGUAGGUUGGGUAGGGGUAAAGGCCUCACCAACGCCAACGAUCUGUAGCUGGUCUGGAGAGGACCGACCAGCCACACGUGGGACUGACGACCGACCGGCCCAGACCUCCGUACGGGGAGCAGCGAGGUGGGUAAUUUGGAAC